rnacentral:tRNA from 1 species
GAGUAAGUAGUUUAAAUAAAACAUUAAGUUGCAAUCUUAAAAUUGAAGUUUCUCCUUACUUU